rnacentral:rRNA from 1 species
AUACGUAGGUGGCAAGCGUUGUCCGGAUUUACUGGGCGUAAAGGGAGCGUAGGCGGAUUUUUAAGUGGGAUGUGAAAUCCCCGGGCUCAACCCGGGGGCUGCAUUCCAAACUGGAAAUCUAGAGUGUCGGAGAGGAAAGCAGAAUUCCUAGUGUAGCGGUGAAAUGCGUAGAGAUUAGGAAGAAUACCAGUGGCGAAGGCGCCUUUCUGGACUGUAACUGACACUGAGGCUCGAAAGCGUGGGGAGCAAACAGGAUUAGAUACCCUGGUAGUCCACGCCGUAAACGAUGGAUACUAGGUGUAGGAGGGUCCAACCUUCUGUGCCGCCGCAAACGCAUUAAGUAUCCCGCCUGGGGAGUACGGUCGCAAGAUUAAA